ACGGGAGGCAGCAGUGGGGGAUAUUGCACAAUGGGGGAAACCCUGAUGCAGCAACGCCGCGUGUGGGAAGAAGGUUUUCGGAUUGUAAACCACUGUUCUUGGUGAAGAUAAUGACGGUAACCAAGGAGAAAGCUCCGGCUAACUACGUGCCAGCAGCCGCGGUAAUACGUAGGGAGCAAGCGUUGUCCGGAUUUACUGGGUGUAAAGGGUGCGUAGGCGGCUAGGCAAGUCAGACGUGAAAACCAUGGGCUCAACCUGUGGACUGCGUUUGAAACUGUUUAGCUUGAGUGAAGUAGAGGUAGGCGGAAUUCCCGGUGUAGCGGUGAAAUGCGUAGAGAUCGGGAGGAACACCAGUGGCGAAGGCGGCCUACUGGGCUUUAACUGACGCUGAGGCACGAAAGCAUGGGUAGCAAACAGGAUUAGAUACCCUGGUA
rnacentral:rRNA from 1 species